rnacentral:rRNA from 1 species
AGUAAAUUGGUUAAGUUAGAAAGGGCGCACGGUGGAUGCCUUGGCACUAGGAGCCGAAGAAGGACGGGACUAACACCGAUAUGCUUUGGGGAGCUGUACGUAAGCGUUGAUCCAGAGAUUUCCGAAUGGGGGAACCCACUAUCUUUAGUCGGAUAGUAUCCUUACGUGAAUACAUAGCGUGAGGAAGGCAGACCCAGGGAACUGAAACAUCUAAGUACCUGGAGGAAGAGAAAGAAAAAUCGAUUUCCUGAGUAGCGGCGAGCGAAACGGAAAGAGCCCAAACCAAGAAGCUUGCUUCUUGGGGUUGUAGGACACUCUAUACGGAGUUACAAAAGAAAGUUAUAAAUGAAGCGGUCUGGAAAGGCCCGCCAAAGACGGUAACAGCCCGGUAGUUGAAAUAGCUUUCCCUCCAGAGUGGAUCCUGAGUACGGCGGAACACGUGAAAUUCCGUCGGAAUCCGGGAGGACCAUCUCCCAAGGCUAAAUACUCCCUAGUGACCGAUAGUGAACCAGUACCGUGAGGGAAAGGUGAAAAGCACCCCGGAAGGGGAGUGAAACAGUUCCUGAAACCGUG